rnacentral:rRNA from 4 species
AGACCCGAAACCCGGUGAUCUAGCCAUGGGCAGGUUGAAGGUUGGGUAACACUAACUGGAGGACCGAACCGACUAAUGUUGAAAAAUUAGCGGAUGACCUGUGGCUGGGGGUGAAAGGCCAAUCAAACCGGGAGAUAGCUGGUUCUCCCCGAAAGCUAUUUAGGUAGCGCCUCGUGAAUUCAUCUCCGGGGGUAGAGCACUGUUUCGGCUAGGGGGCCAUCCCGGCUUACCAACCCGAUGCAAACUGCGAAUACCGGAGAAUGUUAUCACGGGAGACACACGGCGGGUGCUAACGUCCGUCGUGAAGAGGGAAACAACCCAGACCGCCAGCUAAGGUCCCAAAGUCAUGGUUAAGUGGGAAACGAUGUGGGAAGGCCCAGACAGCCAGGAUGUUGGCUUAGAAGCAGCCAUCAUUUAAAGAAAGCGUAAUAGCUCACUGGUCGAGUCGGCCUGCGCGGAAGAUGUAACGGGGCUAAACCAUGCACCGAAGCUGCGGCAGCGAACGUAUCACCCAAGACAACUUUACGGAGUUGACGAUUGACGGAGCGAAGCGACGUCAAAGCGUUCAUUAAAGUCGAGUUGGCUUAGGGAUACGUUCGUUGGGUAGGGGAGCGUUCUGUAAGCCUGUGAAGGUGUGUCGUGAGGCAUGCUGGAGGUAUCA